rnacentral:rRNA from 1 species
GACGAACGCUGGCGGCGUGCUUAACACAUGCAAGUCGAACGGAAAGGCCCUGCUUUUGUGGGGUGCUCGAGUGGCGAACGGGUGAGUAACACGUGAGUAACCUGCCCUUGACUUUGGGAUAACUUCAGGAAACUGGGGCUAAUACCGGAUAGGAGCUCCUGCUGCAUGGUGGGGGUUGGAAAGUUUCGGCGGUUGGGGAUGGACUCGCGGCUUAUCAGCUUGUUGGUGGGGUAGUGUCUUACCAAGGCUUUGACGGGUAGCCGGCCUGAGAGGGUGACCGGCCACAUUGGGACUGAGAUACGGCCCAGACUCCUACGGGAGGCAGCAGUGUGGAAUAUUGCACAAUGGGCGGAAGCCUGAUGCAGCAACGCCGCGUGCGGGAUGACGGCCUUCGGGUUGUAAACCGCUUUCGCCUGUGACGAAGCGUGAGUGACGGUAAUGGGUAAAGAAGCACCGGCUAACUACGUG